GUCUCCAUGGUUUGGUGGUAGAGCACUAACCUUGUAAGCUAGGGUCUUGGAUUCUAGACCAGGUGGAGAUA